GAGUUUGAUCCUGGCUCAGGAUAAACGCUGGCGGCGCACAUAAGACAUGCAAGUCGAACGGACUUAACCGAAAUGUUUACAUUUUGGAGCGGUUAGUGGCGGACUGGUGAGUAACACGUAAGCAACCUGCCUAUUAGAGGGGAAUAACAGUGAGAAAUCAUUGCUAAUACCGCAUAUGCCAUAAUCACCACAUGGUGAUAGUGGGAAAGGAGCAAUCCGCUAAUAGAUGGGCUUGCGUCUGAUUAGAUAGUUGGUGGGGUAACGGCCUACCAAGUCGACGAUCAGUAGCCGGACUGAGAGGUUGAACGGCCACAUUGGGACUGAGAUACGGCCCAGACUCCUACGGGAGGCAGCAGUCGGGAAUAUUGCACAAUGGAGGAAACUCUGAUGCAGUGACGCCGCGUGCAGGAAGAAGGUUUUCGGAUUGUAAACUGCUUUAGAUAGGGAAGAUAAAAGACUGUACCUAUAGAAUAAGCUCCGGCUAACUACGUG
rnacentral:rRNA from 1 species